GUGCUUGCUUCGGUGGCACAUGUACUAAAGUUGAAUGGUACAGAGAAGAUUAGUAUGGCCCUUGCGCAAGGAUAACAUGCAAAUUCAUGAAGCAUUCCAAUGGAAA